GGAAGGAUCAUUAGAGGUUUCUUUUAAACACACAUGUCCCUCAUCUAGCGGAUGGGAGCGGCGGUAACAGCACCUCUCCCAGAGGUUCCUUCAGGUAUUCUCCAAACCAUGAUGGGUGGGAGGAAAAGUCGAUUCUCUUCACUCAGAGAUGCCUGUUGUGAAAGGACCGCUAAACACCAGCAGCAUGGUGGCUUGGUGACGGGUACACCAAGUUAGGGCCAGGAAGACAAAGUCAAGUCUCAUCCGUCGUUGUGGGGUUGUUGUCCCUGGGAUAGCGUCGUCUAUAUGACCCACUGGUGCUGGGACAGUAGCGUAUCCAUGGCGGGCCUCAUUAUGCUGGUCUGUGUAUUUGUCCUUACCCAUUUCCCCUUUCCCCCAAUUACCAAUUACCAAUUUUUUUUUACCUUACAAUUACAACUUAUAACGGUGGAUGACUCGGCUUCCGUAACGAUGAAGAACGUAGCAAACUGCGAUAAGUGAUGGAAAUUGCAGGAUACUUCGACUCAUCGAAUCUUUGAACGCAACCUGCGCCCGGGGGUUCUCCUCGGGCGUGCCUGUUUGAGCUCGGUUCCAUCAAAAAUCUACAAUCCACAUACGAAAGUGUGUGGGAUUUGAGGGUUUACCUGCCUAACAAUUCUUUGUCUGGCGGGGAGUUUUUGAGGUGGGGCCUUCUUUGGCCUUGUCUCUUUUCUCUCCUUUAGGGUAAUCCCUUUAAAUGCUUUAAUACCGAAAGGGAGGUCAAAAAAAAGAAGAAAAGAGCAGACUCAUCUGGGACCGACCUUGGGUUAAGGUCAACUCCAUAAAGUGCUCUCUUUUUUUUGUUCUACUGGCGGUUAACAGUAGGUUAACUAGAACAGAACUUCCCUUCGCGGGGAGGGGCUGGGUUAGUGUCCGAAAAGUAACUUUGGGGGGGCGGGUUGCCUCUUUUUUUUCUUUCCAAAGUGAAAAAUUACCGUUAAGCUAGUUGAGCGUUUCUUUUUUUGACUCUCCUAUCAAAGAGUAGUGGCUGGCGCUCUCGCUUGCUCCCAAGAUUGUCUGUAACUGGGACUUCUUUUUAAAAGAAGACCUAAGUUUCGGAUGAACUCGUUUCUUUUUUUUUUUUGGGUAGCUAAGCGAAGCGUACAUUCACUAGGUGUCCCCUUUUUUUCAUGUGCAAAAGAGGGGGGCACGGUAAACUUUCACUGACUCAAAUCAGGCACGAUUACCCGCUGAAUUUAAGCAUAUAAUUAGGCGGAGGAAAAGAAAAUAACAAUGAUUCCCUCAGUAAUGGCGAAUGAACAGGGAACAGCUCAUCCUGAACCUGUGGGGACUAGUCUCCUCACCGGAAUGUAGGGUGUCGACCAGCCUUAGUGGUCUUCGUCUCUCGCAGAAGUGCCCUGGAAAGGGACGCCACAGAGGGUGAAAGCCCCGUACGCGAUUAUAGAGAUGGAGGUCACGACUUUAGGUUGGAUCGUAGAGUCGAGUUGUUUGGGAGUACAACUCUAAUUGGGUGAUAAACUUCACCUAAAGCUAAAUACCAACGGAAGACCGAUAGCGAACAAGUACCGCGAGGGAAAGUUGAAAAGAACUUUGAAAAGAGAGUUAAAUAGUACCUGAAACCGUUAUGAGGUAAGGGAUCGGCACCAUCGAUUUUUUAGUACCUCUGGCUAUUCAACUUUGGGCUGUGUAGAGUUCCAGGCACCGGGAGUAGCCCUCUGUGGCUUCCCAUCUGACGUCUGAUUCGAAGCAGUCUGGGGUGUACUUAGUCAGGGGACUUUUUUUCAGAGUCACUCGCAGGGGGGGUAAGCUUUUUUCAAGCUGGUCAUUUCGGAAGCUGGUCUCUGAUCAGUGGAUGGGUGGUCAACUGCUGCUCUCCCAACGAGUGAGGGCCCCAAAAGGGGCAAGAGUGGGGGUAUUCUUGGCGAGGGACGGAGUUCGAGGCUUCUGCCCAAGUCCGGAUCCCACUCUCGAUCUCUGAACUCUUAGAUGGAAUCGAUCCUCCCGUCUUGAAACACGGACCAAGGAGUGCACUUGAUGGGCGAGUCUUAGGGUUGUUAAAACCCGAGGGCGAAAUGAAAGUAAACACACACCUGAAGCCCCGUAAAGGGGAACUGCAAGGUGGGCCCACAUUGUCUUACGAGGCAGUGUUGGAGCAAGAGCCUAUCGAGUGCGACCCGAAAGGUGGCGAACUAUGCCCGUGUAGAACGAAGCCAGAAGAAAUUCUGGUGGAAGUUCGUAGCGGUAUUGACGUGCAAAUCAUUCGUCAAACACGGGUAUAGCGGCGAAAGACUAAUCGAGCCGCCUAGUAGCUGGUUCCCUC
rnacentral:misc_RNA from 1 species